rnacentral:rRNA from 1 species
AGGACGAACGCUGGCGGCGUGCUUAACACAUGCAAGUCGAGCGAGGCCCCUUCCUUCGGGAGGGAGCCCUAGCGGCGAACGGGUGAGUAACACGUGGGCAAUCUGCCCCUAGCACUGGGAUAACUCCGGGAAACCGGGGCUAAUACCGGAUAUGACCUCCGAGGGCAUCCUCUGGAGGUGGAAAGGAUUCUGGCUAGGGAUGAGCCCGCGGCCUAUCAGCUAGUUGGUGGGGUAAUGGCCCACUAAGGCGACGACGGGUA